rnacentral:rRNA from 1 species
GGGUUAAAGAUAAACUUUCAUAAGAGCGAGCUGUUCUGUUUUGGUAGGGCCAAAGAUGAACAGGAUGCUUAUAGGCAAUUGUUUGGAUGUGAGUUGGGAGAGCUACCAUUCUCAUACUUGGGAAUUCCUAUCCACCAUCGUAGGCUAACGAACAGAGAAUGGAAGUGUAUCAAGGACCGAUUUGAGAAGAAACUGAGCUGCUGGAAGGGCAAGCUCAUGUCAUAUGGAGGCCGAUUAAUCCUAAUUAAUUCGGUGCUCACAAGUAUGCCGAUGUUUCUUCUCUCGUUCUUUGAGGUACCAGUUGGUGUUAGGAAGAGACUGGACUUCUAUAGAUCGCGGUUCUUUUGGCAGGGUGAUGAGCUUAAAAGAAAAUAU